AACGAACGCUGGCGGCAGGCUUAACACAUGCAAGUCGAGCGCCCCGCAAGGGGAGCGGCAGACGGGUGAGUAACGCGUGGGAACGUACCCUUUGCUACGGAAUAGCUCCGGGAAACUGGAAUUAAUACCGUAUGUGCCCUACGGGGGAAAGAUUUAUCGGCAAGGGAUCGGCCCGCGUUGGAUUAGCUAGUUGGUGGGGUAAUGGCCUACCAAGGCGACGAUCCAUAGCUGGUCUGAGAGGAUGAUCAGCCACAUUGGGACUGAGACACGGCCCAAACUCCUACGGGAGGCAGCAGUGGGGAAUAUUGGACAAUGGGCGCAAGCCUGAUCCAGCCAUGCCGCGUGAGUGAUGAAGGCCUUAGGGUUGUAAAGCUCUUUCACCGGAGAAGAUAAUGACGGUAUCCGGAGAAGAAGCCCCGGCUAACUUCGUGCCAGCCGCCGCAGUAA
rnacentral:rRNA from 1 species